rnacentral:rRNA from 1 species
UACGAAGGGGGCUAGCGUUGUUCGGAAUUACUGGGCGUAAAGCGCGCGCAGGCGGCUAUCCAAGUCAGUGGUGAAAGCCCGGAGCUCAACUCCGGAACUGCCAUUGAAACUGUUUAGCUUGAGGAUGAGAGAGGUGAGUGGAAUUCCCAGUGUAGAGGUGAAAUUCGUAGAUAUUGGGAAGAACACCGGUGGCGAAGGCGGCUCACUGGCUCAUUACUGACGCUCAGGCGCGGUAGCGUGGGGAUCAAACAGG